rnacentral:rRNA from 1 species
UGACCUCUGACCUCAAAUCAGGCAGGACUACCCGCUGAACUUAAGCAUAUAA